rnacentral:rRNA from 1 species
UACGUAGGCAGCAAGCGUUGUUCGGAGUUACUGGGCGGAAAGAGUGCGUAGGUGGUGCCCUAAGUCUGUUGUGAAAUCUCCCGGCUUAACUGGGAGGGUGCGGUGGAAACUGGGGUGCUUGAGUGUGGGAGGGGUAAGCGGAAUUCCUGGUGUAGCGGUGAAAUGCGUAGAUAUCAGGAGGAACACCGGUGGUGUAGACGGCUUACUGGACCACGACUGACACUGAGGCACGAAAGCGUGGGUAGCAAACAGG